rnacentral:lncRNA from 1 species
CAUCUCCUUUUCAUGUACUCUCCCUUUUGCUCUCUCUGUGGUCGGUGGGUACUGGGUACUACUUACUUCCGUAACCAAUUUAAUAAGUGCCGUUUGAGUAGAGCUUUCCAAUUUACUAUUACUAUGCUCGAGAAGCAAUGUAUUGGGCGAGGAUUGAUUUAUUAUACUAUGCUCAAACUGCAGACUUAAACUUUUAGACUGAACGGAUUCUAAUAAAUGCGUGUUAUCUAGUAAUUGUAUAGAUUCCGGUUGCGCCAGAAUUCCCUCAAUAUCUGCAGAAUGACAGAGUCCUCAACUAGACCAGAAGAAGUUCAAGAACCAUCACAGAAAUUGCAGCCAUGCCCAUUUCAGCAUUCAUACAGUUUAGGAAUAGCAUUAUCCUCCAAAUGCACUGUAGUAAAUGAGGAAAAUUGCAUUGUAAACAACUAAUAGAUAACUAUUGGGUAAAUUGCAUAUUUGGUCCUUAAACUAUACGGCGGGUGACAUUUUAAUUUCCAAACUUUAAUUUGUUGUAAUUUCUGAAUCGAACUUUUAGAAUUAUUACUAUUAAGUUUCACAACCUAAUUUAGUUGAUUAAAUAUUAACGCAUUGCUAAUAUAAACGUCACAUCUUAAUUAUUAGCACAGCAUCAAUUACAAUAUUGCUACAUCACUUCUACGUAAGCAAUAUAUCGAUAUUUAGUCAGCUAAAUUAAGUUCUAGAAUUUAAUUGCAACAAUUUUGAAAGUUCGAGCAAGAAAUUAGAAUAAAUUAAAAUUUAAUAGGAU